AAGUGUACUUUUUUUCACCUGGGAAUUGUCCUUAAUAGAACAAAAAAACAACCUAAAACGAGUCAAAGUUUCAAUUUAAAAUUUCAUCCACAAGGGGUCAGCAUCACACUCUUCAUGUAUGAUUAUAUCAUGUGACAGGAUUAAAACAUUUAAAGUAGAGCUCUGUGAGAGAAGCACAGAGGUUUUGAGAGCUCAGCUCUUUCUGCUCUUUUACUGCACAGAACAACAAUGUUUAAUGGGCUUUGAUUUCUCUGUGUCUCACAGCAGCUCAUUAUGAUGGUAAGCUCUUUUUUCUGUUUCAGUACAUUUAACAGAACAAGCUUUACUUACAUUUAGGUUAUUAAUUUAAGUUUACGUUCCUGAUACUUCAUGUUAAUGAUUUACCCUUUUAUAUCCACUUAGUGUCUUUGGGACAGGACAGAGCUGAACAGUCUUCAAGAGAAAUGACUGCAAGUGAAGGAGAUCAAGUUAUUUUAAGGUGUAAUUAUACUACAAGUGAUAGAAGUCCUUAUCUCUUCUGGUACAAACAGCUACCAAACAAAUCUUCAACAUUCAUUCUAAAUAAAUAUACAUUUAUUGACGGAAUAACUGAGGAUGAAUUUAAGAAGAGAUUUUCUGCAACAUUGAACUCCACAUCAAGAUCAAGUGUGUGUCUGACUCUGCUGUGUAUUACUGUGCUCUGAAGCCCACUGAGACUCAAACACACUCAACACUCACACAAAAACAUGCAAAAUAAAUAAAAACUCUCCAACUUUGCCAAAGCAACACUAUAAACCAACAUAUUUCAUGAAGUGAGAAUCCUAUCAGUAAUAAUAAACAAUAAAUAAUGUGCUUUUUGUGCAGUUCGACUCAAGCAGAGCAGAUCUACAGUAUUUAAAUUGUUUUCAUUAUUUCCUCAGUUUUAACAGAGUGCAGUUCAAUAUGAUCCAGAAUGUGUUUGUGUAUUUGGUUUUUAAGCAGCACAUAUAGGUCUCCAUCACACACUCUGAUUUCUUUCUUUCAAGGUUCUUGUUCUUGUGUUCAAAACUGUCACUUCCAACCAAUCACCUGCAUCUGAACCAAAGAUGAAGACACUGAAGACACACCUCUUCUGUGAGCUCUGAACUAAAGCAUUAGCAUCGGAGCACAGAGAACAUGAACAGAUCUGUAGAAAACAUGGAAAAACACCUGUUUCUGAUUUUAUUUCUGACUUCAGGUGUGAUGACUGCAGACAAGAUUGGGCCAAAUAAAGAAACUAACAUUAUAAAUAAGGAAGACGAGACUGUGACCCUCAGCUGCUUAUAUGAAUCAGGCGGCAGUUAUGUUUAUCUUUACUGGUACAGACAGUAUCCUAAUGGAGAGCCUCAGUAUUUAAUAUAUAAGGAACGAUCAUGGAGUGGAAGUGGAAGCCCCUCUGAUCGCCGCUUUCAGACGACUACAUCUCAAUCAUCCACUGAACUCAAGAUUAAUGGUGUGACUCUGUCAGAUUCAGCUCUCUAUUAUUGUGCUCUAAGGAGCCCAGUGAUACAAAGUCUAUGUGAAGCUGUACAAAAACUCAAAUUCAUUUUUCACUUUGAUCUCAAGCCACAUCAAACCCACAAUCUAUAAUUCACACAUAAUAUUAUUACACCAGCGGAAACACCUGUGUGUGGUUACAAAUGACAUUUAGUUCAAGUUAUAAAGGGAAAUUGAAGGAAAAAGUGAAAACAGAGCAAAAUAAUAUUUUGUGGAUUGCUAUUAAUAUGCAAAGCAUGCAAUAGAU